AGAAAAGGCUUAUGCAAAUUACUGAUGAAUUUAGGUGAUUGCUGCAAAGAGCAACAUUUGCUCAUGCAUGCUGUCAUAUUCUGAAGGGAUGAAAAUACAAGAGGCUGAAGUGCCAAGACUGCCUGCAAAUGAUGGAAGUUGAAUUCCAACAGUAUGUCAAAAAAUGUUCAUGCUCACCCCUUCAAUAUUAGAGAUUCAGCUGGAAGAGCCUAAAGUCUCACUAAGAAAUGCAAAGGACAGGUGGGCCC
rnacentral:lncRNA from 11 species